CCUACGGGUGGCAGCAGUGGGGAAUAUUGCACAAUGGGCGCAAGCCUGAUGCAGCGACGCCGCGUGAGUGAAGAAGGCAUUCGUGAUGUAAAGCUCUAUCAGCAGGGAAGAAAAUGACGGUACCUGUGUAAGAAGCACCGGAUAACUACGUGCCAGCAGCCGCGGUAAUACGUCGGGGGCAAGCGUUAUCCGGAUUUACUGGGUGUAAAGGGAGCGUAGACGGCGGUGCAAGUCUGGUGUGAAAGGCGGGGGCUCAACCCGCGGAUUGCUCUGGAUACUGGACGGCUGGAGUGCAGGAGAGGUAGGUGGAAUUCCUAGUGUAGCGGUGAAAUGCGUAGAGAUGAGGAGGAACACCAGUGGCGAAGGCGGCCUACUGGACUGUAACUGACGCUGAGGCGCGAAAGCGUGGGGAGCAAACAGGAUUAGAUACCCCUGUAGUC
rnacentral:rRNA from 1 species